UGCUCUUAGCCUCUGCAUAGGGGAAAAAACAAACAUGAUGUUAUUCUUCUUGUCUCACACCUAUUCGAACAGCGAGAGGAGAGAAGCGAAGUCGAAAACCUAAUUCUAGCUCUGAGUUGGUAGAUUUCAUCAAUCCGACAGACUUCAGCGGCUAAACUUAGAUAUCAAUCAAGUAGGAAGCUACUGGUUAGGUAAGAAAUCCAACAAAGUUAUCGAUUCAAUUGGAGAUAACAUCACAGGUAAACUGUACCUGCUGCUUCUUGGCACAACAACUCUUAGCCUGGGUUUGUAACUUCCAAAAAACAUGUAUGGUGAAAAGCCUCAACAUCCGACUGUGGCCCAAACAGUAGGUAACCAGUUCCGUCUUGGUUCCAGCCUUUCGCAGGGUGUUGGUUCACUAAACGUUGCUUUCAAUUCUCAAUCCAUGUACAGAAGGCGUUUUGUUUAUGGAAACACUGACAGGGUAUUCCAACCAAGAUUUAUAUUUGGUAAACUCUUGUGCAUCACUUGUCUUUGUACAAGAACCAACUGACAAAGGAUUAACCAGUUUUGCGUGUUAAUUUUCUUAUUGGAGGUGUCUUGGCUACUGUCUUGAAAACUCUGUAAAUCUAUUGUAACCUAAGAACGGAUUGGCCAGAUUCGCUAGUGUUUUGUUAAUUUGAAAUUGUAACCUGACAACUCAUUGUAGCUACUCGCAUAUUUUGUAAAUGUAUGGGUCUGUAAAUGUAUUCCUUCUUUGAUGAAAUAAAUUUUAUUUAUAAAUUAUGGCA